rnacentral:rRNA from 1 species
UACGAGGGGGGCGAGCGUUGUUCGGAAUUAUUGGGCGUAAAGGGUGCGUAGGCGGUUUGGUAAGUCUUAUGUGAAAUCUAUGGGCUCAACUCAUAGUCUGCAUGAGAAACUGCCGGGCUUGAGUAUGGGAGAGGUGAGUGGAAUUCCUGGUGUAGCGGUGAAAUGCGUAGAUAUCGGGAGGAACACCUGUGGCGAAAGCGGCUCACUGGACCACAACUGACGCUGAGGCGCGAAAGCUAGGGGAGCAAACAGG